CUUUCUACACGAAGCAAGCUUUCUAUUGGUGUUGUGUGUCCAUACAAUGCUCAAGUUAGAGCUAUACAGGAAAAGGUUGGGAAGGCCUGCAGGAGGAAUGAUUAUUUCUCAGUGAAAGUAAAAUCUGUGGAUGGUUUCCAAGGCGCGGAGGAAGAUAUAAUUACCAUAUCAACAGUCAGGAGUAAUGGAGCUGGUACAGUUGGGUUUCUAUCAAACUUAUAGAGGACUAACGUGGCUCUAACAAGGGCCAAGCAUUGCUUAUGGAUUGUGGGGAAUGGAACCACUCUGUUCAACAGCAAUUCUGUUUGGUAGAAGAUUGUCAAGGACACAAGGGAUAGAGGUUGUUUUUUAAUGCCACUAAUGAGAAGGAGUUGCUGAAUGCAAUUUUCAAGCCUGCUGUUGAGUAUCCUCAGGCGGACAAUUUAGCUGGCGAGGAGACAAGGCAGCGAUUGAGUACCAGGAUGAGGUGAGAUGGGGAAAUUGGUUCGUUUUAUGAAAAUUGGGUUUGUGUAGAUAUCCUCCAUAAAUCAACAGUGGAGCAGGAUGAAAAGGACUCCAUUGAGGAAACAAAUGGUUUACAUGUGGAAUAUGAUGACCAGGAAAAGAUCAAGUACCUAGCAGAAGGGAAGCUGGUUUCUUUUUGCGGACAGGUUUUGAAAGAGGCGUCUGAUUUACAGCCUAGCACUGGGGACGCUGCCAGUGUAGACAUACAUAAUGUAUUAGACUUACGGGCACCUGUUAUUGUCAAGGUUUUGAAAGGAAUGUGCAUCAUGGAUGCUCAGAUCUUCAAAAGGCACUUGAAAAAGUUCUAUCCAUUAAUUACCAAACUUAUCUGUUGUGAUUAGAUGGAUGUUCGUGGAGCCCUUGGUGAUCUCUUUAGCAAACAGCUUACUCCACUCAUGUCUUGAAGUAUGGCAGUAUUUCCUCCGUUGCAUAUAUCUUGUUGGAAUAUAUUCGUCAUCAGCAUUUUUGUGCAAACAUGGAGCACCGGUAGGGUGCUUGACAUCCUUAAGGCACUGUCUGGUGCAAGUGCAACAGCUAUUCCCUAGGAAGUUAAGAGCUUUGCCAGCGGGAACGGCAACUCCCUAGGCCGCAUAUUUUUGAAUGACGCAAGGGAAGUAGCUUGAUUGUUUCGCACCGUGUUUUCCCUAGCGACUUGGAUGAUACGAGGGACGACGCUUCCAUUAUACAGUAGAGUAGUGUUGGUGACAUGUACGCAUUGUUCAGGACAUUGUACUUGAGGCCUGUUGUUAUUUUAUGGCAAUAGUAGAUUAUUUGCGGCAA